CACCAUGUUACAUUAGUUUCAGGUAUACAACAGGACAUAGUGAUUCACCUUCUCUAUAUGUGAUGCUAUGCUCAUCACAAGGGUAGCUACCAUCUGUCACCAUACAAUACUAUUAUAAUAUCAUUGGCUGUAUUUCUAAUGUUGUGCCUCUUAUUCCCCUGACUUAUUUUAUUUUAUUUUAAUUUUGGUAAAGAUUUUAUUUUUAAGCAUUCUCUAUACCCAUUGUGGGGAUCAAACUCACAACCCCAAGAUCGAGAGUCACAUGCUGUACUGACUGAGCCAGGAAAAAGAAGUGAGACAUUCAGAGUUGUUGGCUACUGGAGACUUUGGAAUGGGUCAAAUGUCAACUGAAGAGUACGGAUUGAUUGAGCACAUUCUUUAGUAUGUGCUUUCCAUUGUAAUCUCACCGAACAACUUGCAUACUCUGUCCGGGAAACACACUGCAAGGCGACCCUUGGAGCCACCAACUGAUCCCAAACACAACGAUCUUUUUAUUGUACUGCUGUCGUGUGGCAUUUCUGCGGUCAUGCUGAUUAGGCCAACCUUAUCCUAGCUACCUGAAGGACAGUCAUGAUGGAGAAGAACGUUUGGGCUGCUUCUCUCUGUGGAGACUCAUCUGACCAAAGCCCAAUUUGAUGAACGUUAAGGGCUGUAGGAUCCACUCUUCCAACUAGGUCCGCCCUGCUCUGAAGACCCACCUUCUUUUGGCUGGAAAAUGAAUCUGCGAACAUCUUUGAGAAGGAGUUACUGAACACUGUGCAAACGACAGACAGCACUAAAGUUCCCAUUAGCUACCAGAAGAAAACUCAAAGUUCAUUAACGAGUAGCUGAUUGUCUUUAUCGCACGGAGGCUUACGUCUUAACACCCAAGAAGGAAGGAGUGAAAUCUGCCUCAGUACUUCCAUGGAAUUCCUUCUCGAAGUUUGAUUCAAUUCCUGUUCAUGUGUAAGACAUAAGCCUUAUGCCAUGAAAUUCCCAUUUUAACUGGUUGUCGGCUGUAAGUUAAUAUGCAGACUUAUUUCGCUUCUCCCCCUCCACGCUUGUGCACAAUGCUUUGAAUGUUCUGUGUUUUCCUUGCCUUUGAUUGCCAAUCCAUCCCGGGCCCUCAUUUCCUCCUCUCCUGCCUUUUGGCCGGCAUAAUUUUGGAACUUAGAAAAAAAAAAUGCAUCCUCUGUCUUUUCUCAUAGGCUCCAUUUGCAUUUUAGUCGAUUUUGGACAUUUUUUCUACGAUGUAUUCAGUAUGCUUUAUUUCCUGUUUUUAUAAGCUUUAUAUAACUUCAGAAAAAUGUGAUCCAAGGCAUGUCUGGGGGAGAGGUGGCUGUUAUUUUUUUACUGUAACAUGGAAGAUAUUGACCUGCAGUGUCUACACUGGGCAUAACUGUUUGCAGAGUUGUCUUUUUUCCUUUUAAUUUUAUUUUUGAGAGAGCACGAGCCAGGGAGAGGGGCAGAGGGAGAGGGAGAGCAAGAUUUCAAGCAGGUUCCUCGUUCAGCUCAGAGUCCGACAUGGGGCUCCAUCCCAUGACUCUGGGAUCGUGACCUGAGCUGAAAUCAAGAAUCGGAGGCUCAACCGACUGAGCCACCCCUGCAGAGUUGUCUUUAGAUGACCGUGACCAGAGGUAUUUUUCAGGGUUCUUCAUCUUGGUCAGCUGGGUGCCAGGAAGGCAGCUGGUAGGACAUACAUGCAGGCAAUUAGCAUGUAUGCACUGAACACUCUAUCAUUUCCAAACCAAAAGGUGAGAUCAUUUCUGCUAUCCUUCCAUUGGCCCCACCUCCUUGUUUUCCAUGUUAACCCUACAGGUGACCUGUGAGCAAUGUGAGUUUGAACUAUGUGGGUCCACCUAUAUGUGGCGUCUUUUCAAUUAAUACAGUACAGUCCUAUAAAUGUAUUUUCUCUUGUGACUUUCUUCAUAACAUUUUCUUCUUUCUAGCUUCCUCCUCGGUAAGAAUGAAGCUUAUAGUAAAUACAACAUACAAACUACGUGCUAAUCGGCUGUUUGUGUUAUUGGUAAGGGUUCCAGUCAACAGUGGGCUAUUAGUCAUGAAGUUUUUGGAGGAGUCAGUUAUAUAUGGAUUUUUGACUGCAUGGGAGGUCAGUGCCCUCAACCCCUACAUUGUUCAAGGGUCAACUGUAGUUGAUUUUACUCAGUAAAAUGCAUAAAUUGUAAGUGUUCAGCACAAGGAAUUUUGACAAAUGUA